rnacentral:rRNA from 1 species
GACGAACGCUGGCGGCGUGCCUAACACAUGCAAGUUGAGCGACGAACCAGGGCUUGCCCUGGGGCAAAGCAGCGAACGGGUGAGUAACACGUGGGUAACCUACCCCGAUAACCGGGACAACCCGAGGAAACUCGGGCUAAUACCGGAUGUGCUCACUGGACUUCGGUUCAGUGCGUAAAGGAGGCUUCGGCCUCCGUAUCGGGAGGGGCCCGCGGCCCAUUAGUUUGUUGGUGAGGUAACGGCUCACCAAGACCGCGAUGGGUAGCUGGUCUGAGAGGACGAUCAGCCACACUGGGACUGAGACACGGCCCAGACUCCUACGGGAGGCAGCAGUGGGGAAUCUUGCGCAAUGCGCGAAAGCGUGACGCAGCAACGCCGCGUGGGGGAAGAAGGCCUUCGGGUUGUAAACCCCUUUCAGGAGGGACGAAGGUUCGGCGGUGAAUAGCCGUCCGGACUGACGGUACCUCCACAAGAAGCCCCGGCUAACUACGUG